AAGUUGAACGAAGGCCCUGGCUUGCCAGGUGUCCUUAGUGGCGCACGGGUGAGUAACGCGUGGGAAUCUGCCCAAGAGUGGGAAUAACUAUUGGAAACGAUAGCUAAUACCGCGUACGCCUCCGGGGAAAGGCUUCGGCCGCUCAUGGAUGAUCCCGCGUCUGAUUAGCUUGUUGGUGAGGUAACGGCUCACCAAGGCGACGAUCAGUAGCUGGUCUGAGAGGAUGAUCAGCCACACUGGGACUGAGACACGGCCCAGACUCC
rnacentral:rRNA from 1 species